rnacentral:rRNA from 1 species
UACGUAGGGUGCAAGCGUUAAUCGGAAUUACUGGGCGUAAAGCUUGCGCAGGCGGUUUUGUAAGUCUGUCGUGAAAGCCCCGUGCUCAACCUGGGAAUUGCGAUGGAGACUGCAAGGCUUGAAUCUGGCAGAGGGGGGUAGAAUUCCACGUGUAGCAGUGAAAUGCGUAGAGAUGUGGAGGAACACCGAUGGCGAAGGCAGCCCCCUGGGUCAAGAUUGACGCUCAUGCACGAAAGCGUGGGGAGCAAACAGG